UACGAAGGGUGCAAGCGUUAAUCGGAAUUACUGGGCGUAAAGCGUGCGCAGGCGGUUUUGUAAGACAGGCGUGAAAUCCCCGAGCUCAACUUGGGAAUUGCGCUUGUGACUGCAAGGCUAGAGUGUGUCAGAGGGGGGUAGAAUUCCACGUGUAGCAGUGAAAUGCGUAGAGAUGUGGAGGAAUACCGAUGGCGAAGGCAGCCCCCUGGGAUAAUACUGACGCUCAGGCACGAAAGCGUGGGGAGCAAACAGG
rnacentral:rRNA from 1 species